CACUAUGCUUAGCCCUAAACAUUGAUAGUCCCUUACUUCCACUAUCCGCCCGGGAAUUACGAGCAUGAGCUUAAAACCCAAAGGACUUGGCGGUGCUUUAGACCCCCCUAGAGGAGCCUGUCCUAGAACCGAUAACCCCCGUUCAACCUCACCUUUCCUAGUCCCACUCCCGCCUAUAUACCGCCGUCGUCAGCUUACCCUAUGAAGGAACAACAGUUAGCUUAAUUGGCAUAGCCCAAAACGCCAGGUCGAGGUGUAGCGUAUGGAAAGGGAAGAGAUGGGCUACAUUCUCUAUGAACAGAGUAUACGAAUGAUUGCACUGAAACACGCAUCUGAAGGAGGAUUUAGCAGUAAGCAGAAAACAUAAGCGUUCCGCUGAAACUGGCCCUGAAGCGCGCACACACCGCCCGUCACUCUCCCCAAGCCCCAAAUCACAACAAACAUAUACAACAACACAUCGCAUAGGGGAGGCAAGUCGUAA
rnacentral:rRNA from 1 species